rnacentral:tRNA from 1 species
GGGCGAUUGGUGAAACGGUAUCACAACGGUCUCCAAAACCGUUAUUGAAGGUUCGAUUCCUUCAUCGCCCG